rnacentral:lncRNA from 1 species
AGGGAUUAACAUGAAAGUAAUGUAGCUCCACUAGUGGCAUCAGAAUGAGAAGGAACAGGGAAAAGAGUGAACAUAAGAUAACUGAAGAUUGCAUCAUCGACCCAAAUAUUUUGAUGCACGCUUGACGCUACUGUGCAGGCAGCACCUUAGUCUGUGAUUUGGAUGCGACCAGCUGGAUGCAGAAUGAAUGGCAGGUGUAUUUGGCCACAACCUUGUGACCCACGGCCACCAAUUUGCAAUGGGCCAUAAUGCUUGAUACAAUGAGCCCCUUCAAAGCUCAGGUGACGCAAGGCAGGUAAUGGACAGCUUGGAGAGGCCCCACAUGGAGGUGUCUAUAGGUUACUGGCAGGUGUAUUUGUCCUUGCUUAGGACCUCUUCAUCCUCGAGCUUGCAGAGUGAACCACCAUCUUCAAGACCUAGCCUUGGAGUCUAGGCGCCUCACUAGUUCAAGCCAAGGAGCACACCAUCAACCUCUUCAUGAACUUGUAGGGCAAGGAUCACAAACACGCUGGGGUCUGAUCUAGAGGACAAGAUGUGCGACGUGGUGCUGUUUGACUCCCAUUGCUCCUGCAUUCCUCUGCCUCUGCCACUGCAUUCUCUCAGCAGGGACAAAUCCAAUUUCGUGAUGCAUCCCAGUCCUACUUGCAAUUUUCAUCGAGAACCUAUGGCCCUUAGAG